rnacentral:rRNA from 1 species
CUUGGUCAUUUAGAGGAAGUAAAAGUCGUAACAAGGUUUCCGUAGGUGAACCUGCGGAAGGAUCAUUAGUGAACGCCCUCACGGGCUUAUACUAUUCCAAACCUCUGUGAACCGUGCCCUUCGGGGCUAUUUUACAAACAUGGUGUAAUGAACGUCAUAUAUCAUAACAAAACAAAACUUUCAACAACGGAUCUCUUGGCUCUCGCAUCGAUGAAGAACGCAGCGAAAUGCGAUAAGUAAUGUGAAUUGCAGAAUUCAGUGAAUCAUCGAAUCUUUGAACGCACCUUGCGCCCUCUGGUAUUCCGGAGAGCAUGCCUGUUUGAGUGUCAUGUAGACUCAAUCCCUCGGGUUUCCGAGGAGAUUGGACUUGGGUGUUGCCGCUUUGCCGGCUCGCCUUAAAAGACUUAGCGGGAUAGCACCGUAGCUGGCGUAAUAAGUUUCGUCGGUGAAGGUUGUGAUGACUGCUUACAAUCGCCCUCGGGCAAUUUUUGACUCUGACCUCAAAUCAGGUAGGACUACCCGCUGAACUUAAGCAUAUCAAUAAGCGGAGGA